rnacentral:rRNA from 1 species
AGCAGUAGCCGCGGGAAUACGUAGGGUGCGAGCGUUAAUCGGAAUUACUGGGCGUAAAGCGUGCGCAGGCGGUUUUGUAAGACAGGCGUGAAAUCCCCGGGCUCAACCUGGGAAUGGCGCUUGUGACUGCAAAGCUAGAGUGCGGCAGAGGGGGAUGGAAUUCCGCGUGUAGCAGUGAAAUGCGUAGAUAUGCGGAGGAACACCGAUGGCGAAGGCAAUCCCCUGGGCCUGCACUGACGCUCAUGCACGAAAGCGUGGGGAGCAAACAGGAUUAGAUACCCGCGUAGUCCCUGUCUCUUAUAC